GACGAACGCUGGCGGCGUGCCUUACCCAUGCAAGUCGGACGGUUGGGGCUUCGGCCCUGACAGUGGCAGACGGCUGAGUAACACGUGAGGACCUAUCCAGUUGAGGGGGAUAGCCGCUCGAAAGAGCGGGUAAUACCUCGUAAGGAGGGCGCGCGAGAGCGUGCUUUCGAAAGCGAGGGAGACCUCGCGCGACUGGAGGGACUCGCGGCCCAUCAGGUAGUUGGUGAGGUAACGGCUCACCAAGGCGACGACGGGUAGCCGGCCUGAGAGGGUGACCGGCCACACUGGGAAUGAGGCACGGCCCAGACUCCUACGGGAGGCAGCAGUGGGGAAUAUUGCACAAUGGGCGCAGGCCUGAUGCAGCAACGCCGCGUGAGGGACGACGGCCUUCGGGUUGUAAACCUCUUUUAGCAGGGAAGAAGCGAAAGUGACGGUACCUGCAGAAAAAGCACCGGCUAACUACGUGCCAGCCGCCGCGGUAACAC
rnacentral:rRNA from 1 species